rnacentral:rRNA from 1 species
CCCUUAGAUGUUCUGGGCAGCACGCGCGCUACAAUGGUCUUCGCAAACGGAUGCAUUCUCGAAGGAGAAUGCCAAUCUUGGAAUCUAUGCCUUGGUCGGGACAGUUGCUUGCAAUUUUUCGACUCGAACCAGGAAUUCCUUGUAAUCGUGAUUCAUCACAUCACGAUGAAUACGUCCCUGCCCUUUGUACACCCCGCCCGUCGCUCCUACCGAUCGAAGAGUUAGGUGAAUUGUUUUGAUCGAUAAGAUUUGACUAUGGUCAACUCUCGUUGUGAAAUUCUGUGAAUCUGACUGUUUAGAGGAAGGAAAAGUCGUAACA